CAGUAGCCGCGGGAAUACAGAGGGUGCAAGCGUUAAUCGGAAUUACUGGGCGUAAAGCGCGCGUAGGUGGUUUGUUAAGUUGGAUGUGAAAGCCCCGGGCUCAACCUGGGAACUGCAUCCAAAACUGGCAAGCUAGAGUACGGUAGAGGGUGGUGGAAUUUCCUGUGUAGCGGUGAAAUGCGUAGAUAUAGGAAGGAACACCAGUGGCGAAGGCGACCACCUGGACUGAUACUGACACUGAGGUGCGAAAGCGUGGGGAGCAAACAUGAUUAGAUACCCGCGUAGUCCCUGUCUCUUAUAC
rnacentral:rRNA from 1 species